UUCCACGCCGUAAACGAUGAUGGCUAACCGCCGGCGACACACUGUCGGUGGCCAAGCGAAGCGAUAAGCCAUCCACCUGGGGAGUACGUCGGCAACGAUGAAACUCAAAGGAAUUGACGGGGGCCCGCACAAGCGGAGGAACAUGUGGUUUAAUUCGAUGAUACGCGAGGAACCUUACCCGGGCUCGAACGGCACCUGGAUCGCCCAGAGAUGGGGCGAGUCUUCGGACAGGUGUCGAGGUGCUGCAUGGUUGUCGU
rnacentral:rRNA from 1 species